CUGGACCUUUCUUCAUGGUUUCUCCACCCUGUCACUGAAGCUGCCUCAUCUUAACCUUGAUUCUUAAGAAAUCUGAGUGCUAAGCAACUGCCCAGUUAAACCAAUGGCAACGUUAUGUGUUUCAAAAUGACAAGGGGAGCCCCUGGAAAGGAUUCCUUGCUCCUCAAGCGGCAGCCAGGCUGGGCCUUGCUGAGAGUAACCAUGGUCUUAGGUCUCAUAGAGUUUUCAUCUCCUCAGAGGAUGCUCUUCCCAGCUCUGAGAGAGACAGAGAGAAACGAAACUCCUUCCUCCUAGGAAACUGUCCAGCUCUUGGGAGGAUCGCAGAGGCUGUUCUCCUUAAGACGUUGAAGGAAAACCGAGAGGCUAUGGCCGGACCUAGUUUCUGCAAAGGAUUUUGUCAAGUGAUCCCUCUCUGACCCUGUGCCUCUGUUUGGAUUUUGUGCCCCGAGCACCAAGAGAAUAUGCACUCUGUGCUGCCUGGACAGCUGGGGUGGCCAUUCACAGCUGCCAGGAAAGGUGGGGUCCGAGCCAUCCUUACACCUGAUUCAAGCUGGCAGGCGCUCCCAAAGGACUUCCUGGGACUGUCAGCCUCAGCCUGAGACGUGGGCCACGCCUCCUGCCUGAGCAUCCCCGAGGAGAGGUGGGGACAGCUGGCGGCUUUGCAUCUGAGGGGAAAUGCUGGCAUGGUGGUCCAAGCAAGGAGAGCUACACAUAUAUUUCUGAUGGCAGCUGGACAGAAAGGACCUGGACCCUCAACUUCUGCAGAAUACCACACCCCUCCUUGGGUCAGACAGCCUGACACCCUCUGGUGGCCUCCCACAAGCAGCAACCAGGCUGGAGAAAGCUGAGACUGGACCCACUAGCGUUCGGGAGGGGGACCCACACGUCGGGGUGUGGCUGCAGGGGAGGGUGAAGGCUGGUGGUGUGGGCAGAAGAGACAAGGUCUGGGGAAGUCAGGGAUUUCAGAAAGUGCAUGGCUGUGCUUCAGACCCACCCAGGAAGAGGGCAGCUAUGGAAGAAUAACAAAUAAAUACAUGGCAAAGUCUCA